UACGUAGGGGGCUAGCGUUGUCCGGAAUCAUUGGGCGUAAAGCGCGCGUAGGCGGCCCGGUAAGUCCGUUGUGAAAGUCAAAGGCUCAACCUUUGAACGCCGAUGGAUACUGCCGGGCUAGAGUCCGGAAGAGGCGAGUGGAAUUCCUGGUGUAGCGGUGGAAUGCGCAGAUAUCAGGAGGAACACCGAUAGCGAAGGCAGCUCGCUGGGACGGUACUGACGCUGAGACGCGAAAGCGUGGGGAGCAAACAGG
rnacentral:rRNA from 1 species